GGUUGAUCCUGCCAGUAGUCAUAUGCUUGUCUCAAAGAUUAAGCCAUGCAUGUCUAAGUAUAAGCUUUUAUACGGUGAAACUGCGAAUGGCUCAUUAAAACAGUUAUAGUUUAUUUGAUGGUCUUUGUUACAUGGAUAACCAUGGUAAUUCUAUGGCUAAUACAUGCGCAGUGGCCGCCUUCUUUGGAGGGGCUGUGUUUAUUAGAUACAAAACCAACCCACACCUGGUGUGGAGCCUUGGUGAUUCAUAGUAACCGAACGGAUCGCAGUUGGCUUCGGCCCGCGAUGGAUC
rnacentral:rRNA from 1 species